rnacentral:misc_RNA from 1 species
AACGCACCUUGCGCCCUUUGGUAUUCCGAAGGGCAUGCCUGUUUGAGUGUCAUUAAAUUCUCAACCUUCCCCUUCUUUCAUUAGGAGUGCGGCGGAUUGGAUAUGGGGGUUUGCUGGUUUCUAACGAAAUCAGCUCCUCUGAAAUGCAUUAGCAGAAACCGUUUGACUCUGGCUGCUAGGCUGUGAUAAUAUCUACGCCUUGGUAGUUGGGUCGGAAUACGAGUCAUACAGUGGUAACUAAUCAGGCUUUCGAGUCUGGCUUAGGAUUGGUUUGGAAGGUGCUUAACGGCUCCUUCUGCUUUCUCCCUUUGUGGAGAUACUUGUCCGAUUCUAAGAGAGGAGUUGCUUAGCGCGAGCUUAGCUUUCCUUGAUUUUUCCCUUGACUUUGUAGAAGGAUUCAGCUUCUAACCGUCCAUUGACUUGGACAAUUUAUUGACUAUUUGACCUCAAAUCAGGUAGGACUACCCGCUGAACUUAA